rnacentral:rRNA from 1 species
UACCUGGUUGAUCCUGCCAGUAGUGAUAUGCUUGUCUCAAAGACUAAGCCAUGCAUGUCUCAGUAUAUGCUUGCACAUAGUGAAACUGCGACUGGCUCAUUAAAACAGUUAUAGGUUUACUGGUUGACCAUUUACAUGGAUACCUGUGGUAAUUCUAGAGCUAAUACAUGCCCACACACCUGACUUAGUGGAAGGGUUGUGCUUAUUAGAUUCAAAACCAAUACAAGCUUCGCUUGCUCCUUUGGUGAUACAUAGUGCUUGCAUGAAUUGCAUGGCGCCAGCUGGCUAUGCAGCUUUUAAGUUUCUGACCUAUCAGCUUCGGAUGGUAGGGUAUUGGCCUACUAUGGCAAUGACGGGUAACGGAGAAUUAGGGUUCGAUUCCGGAGAGGGAGCCUGAGAAAUGGCUACCACAUCUAAGGAAGGCAGCACGCGCGCAAAUUACCCAAUCCUGACACAGGGAGGUAGUGACAAGAAAUAACAAUACAGGGCAUCCAUGUCUUGUAAUUGGAAUGAAUAUAUCAUAAACUCCUUUAUGAGUAUCGAUUGGAGGGCAAGUCUGGUGCCAGCAGCCGCGGUAAUUCCAGCUCCAAUAGC